UGCGGUGCAGAAGGCCGCCUGGAUGACCUUCCACCCUGAUUAUGCAGACGGGGACAGGCUGCUAAACACCUCAUGCACUUCCUCUGUGUUAGACUCUUUUGAAUUAUGGACAGCGGAGAAAGGAAAUUGGGGCGGUGCCUUCGCUAUGCCCGACAAGGUUCGCUAUACUGUACAAUAAAUAAGAGAGAGCGGCUCCAGACGAGAAGUGUGAACCAUCAAGAUUAAGAUGCAAGGCUCUUGUUCAUCUUGUUGGAGUGAGAACAAGCGGGUUUUAACUUUCCCGUUGAGGAGAAGCUUAAAGAAGCACAACUUACAGGCUCAAAACAAUUCACAAAACUCAGUUCGUAUGCACGUUAAGGUCUGGAUCGUCCUCACGAGGUAAAGAAGGACUCCGAAUGGUUCUUACUGGUAUACUACUGAGCAAUCUGUUGGUGUACACUGCCAAAGUAGAUCACAGGAUAACAGCUGGAUAAUGCACGAAAAAAAUAUGAAGGCUUUUGGAAACAACUUAAUAGUGUGGGCACAGAUCUGAACCGGAUCUUCUGUUUCAGCCUGGGAUCUGAACCUACAAUAUUCCGGUGUCUACCUUCACACAACCUUCACUGCUGACCUUUCAGAUAUCACUGACUACAAAGUGUGAGAAAUCUACAACGAAAGGAAGAGAAAAGUCUGAAGUAAUUAACGAUUUUUCUCAUCUUGCCUCAAGGGCAGAACUUCGAAAAUUGCAUCUGUCAUCAGUACGAGCGCUGGUUGUGUCAGCAAUAAAUGUCUCCCAAUUAGCAGCUCCAUCAUUAUUAGCUAGCCUCGAUGCGACGUCUAUGAGAUGAGCAGUUAUAAUAGGUCAAAAGGUUGAGUUUGCCAUGCAUAAAUAAAUACGGGAAUUACAAAGAGGGAGGGGCUCGGAGUCGGUGUUAACAUGCUUGUCAUAAAGUGUUUGAGGUCUGUGAGAAACAGGGACGACGACGGGCUCUGGAAUUGUGGACGCUUUGAUG